AUUAAAAUUAUUAAUUUUAUUUUUUUUAAUUAAAAAUUUUAUAAAAGUAAUUUAUUUAUUUGUUGUUUUAGUAUUUAGUAAAAAUAAAUUUUAAGAUUUAUAGUUUAAUAGUAUUGUAAAAGAAUUUUUUAAAUUUAAAAAAGAAUGAAUUAGUACCUUUUGUAUCAGGGUUAAUUAAAAUUUUUAAUUUAUUUUUAAAUUCUCAAAAUAUAUAGAGUUAAUUUUAUUAUUAAUUUAUUGUUUUAUAAAUAUUUAAAAAAUAAUUUUAGUUUUGAAAUUUAAUUCGUUAUAUAAUAUUUAGUUAUUUAAGAAUUAAAUUUAAUUUAGAAUUUUAAAAGUUUUAUUUAUAAUUAUGAAUAAAUAUUAUUUUAAAUUUAAAUUAUUUUAGGGAUAAGCUUGAAAUUUUUAUAUAAUAAUAUGAUUAUUAAAUAAUUUUUAGGAAUAGAAAUUUUUAUAUAAGUUUGUAAAAAUUUAUUAUUUAGUUUUAUUUAAUUUAUUAUAGAUGUAUUUAUUUUUAUUAUUAAAUUUUAUAAAUUAAUAUUUUAUUUAUAGUAAUAAUGAUUAAAUUAGUAUAAUAAUUUAUUUAUGAAUUAUGAAUUCGGCAAAAAUUAUUUUCAUCUGUUUAACAAAAACAUAGUAUUAAGAUUUAUUUAAUAUAGAAUCUGCUCAAUGAUUAAUUAAAUAGCUGCAGUAUUUUGACUGUGCAAAGGUAGCAUAAUAAUUAGUCUUUUAAUUGAGGACUGGAAUGAAAGAUUUGAUGAGAAAUAAACUUUAUUAUUUAUAAAAUUAAAAUUUUAUUUUUAAGUAAAAAAGCUUAAAUAUUUUAAAGGGACGAUAAGACCCUAUAAAACUUUAUAAUUAUUUUAUUAAAGUAUUUGGUUAAUAAAAAUUUUAAUAUUUUUAAUUAUUUUAUUGGGGUGAUAAAAAAAAUUAUUUAACUUUUUUUAAAAAUUUACAUAAAUUAAUGAUAUAUUUUGAAUUAAAAAUUUUAAUUAAAUGAAAAAGUUACUUUAGGGAUAACAGCGUAAUUAAUUUUUUAAGUUCAAAUUUAAAAAUUAGUUUGCGACCUCGAUGUUGAAUUAAGAUUAAUCUUAGGUGCAAAAUUUUAAGUUUUAGGUCUGUUCGACCUUUAAAUUCUUACAUGAUUUGAGUUCAAACCGGUGUAAGCCAGGUUGGUUUCUAUCUUUUAAAAUUAUAUUUAUUUUAGUACGAAAGGAUUAAAUAAUUAGAUAAUAUUUUAUAGUAAAUGAAUAAAAUUAAUUUUA
rnacentral:rRNA from 1 species